UACGUAGGGUGCGAGCGUUGUCCGGAAUUAUUGGGCGUAAAGAGCUCGUAGGCGGUUUGUUGCGUCGGCCGUGAAAACUUGGGGCUUAACCCCGAGCCUGCGGUCGAUACGGGCAGACUUGAGUUCGGCAGGGGAGAGUGGAAUUCCCGGUGUAGCGGUGAAAUGCGCAGAUAUCGGGAAGAACACCCGUGGCGAAGGCGGCUCUCUGGGACGGUACUGACGCUGAGACGCGAAAGCGUGGGGAGCGAACAGG
rnacentral:rRNA from 1 species